AAGAUUAAGCCAUGCAUGUCUAAGUAUAAGCAAUUAUACAGUGAAACUGCGAAUGGCUCAUUAAAUCAGUUAUCGUUUAUUUGAUAGUACCUUACUACUUGGAUAACCGUGGUAAUUCUAGAGCUAAUACAUGCUUAAAAUCCCGACUGUUUGGAAGGGAUGUAUUUAUUAGAUAAAAAUCAAUGCCUUCGGGCUCUUUGAUGAUUCAUAAUAACUUUUCGAAUCGCAU
rnacentral:rRNA from 1 species